rnacentral:lncRNA from 1 species
GAAGGUGGUGGAGUCACCAUGCCUGGAGGUGUUUAAGGAAAGACUGGUUGUGGCACUCAGUGCCACGGUCUGUCUGACACGGUGGUGUUUGGUCAUGGGUUGAAUUCAAUGAUCUCAGAGGUUAUUUCCAACCUAAUUGAUUUUAGCAUUCUAUGACUCAUUUUCAUGUGGUUGUAGACCAGAGGAUCACAGAAAGGUUAGGCUCCAGGGUGCCUUUGUGGUAUGGUCUGGUCCAACCCCACUUCUCAAACCACUGCCAAUUAGAACAGGUCAUUCAGGACCACAGAAUGACAGAACUGUAGAAUGGAUUGGGUCAGAAGGAACUUUUAAAGACCAUCUAGUUUCAAAUGUCCUGCCAUGGGCAGGAAUGUGCCACCCACUAGAUCAGGUCACUCGGGACCCCACCCAGCCUGGCCUCGAACACUGCCAGGGACGGCGAUGUCACCAGCUUUCGAGUUACCUCCAGAGGCAGAGACACCACAACCUCUCUGGGCAAACCCGUGCCGCCAGCACUUGACCACCCCCACAAGACCAGGAAAAUUUUCAUUUAAAUAAUUUCAGGAGGCUCUCGCUGCAAGGGCAAAGCCGGCCGGUCCCCGGGGACCAGCGGGAGUUCAGCGGGCCACCGGGUCCGCAGGGCCGGGCGCGGCUGUGCCUCGGGGGGGCGGAGGAGCGGGGCGGGGGCGUCCGCCCCCUUUUCCCCCCUCACGGCCUCCCACGCGCGCACCUGCGCAGGCGCGCGNCCCUCCGUGCCUCCUUCCUUCAUCCAUCCUUCCUCCCAGCCGCCGGGGGACAGCCCAGACUGGAAAAGAACCAAGAGCACCAAAGCAACUUAAAGACAUCCUGUCCUCCGUAGGACUGAGGUACAAAGAAAAGCUUGCACAAUUUCUGGAUGGAGUGAGCCUUCCAGUCGCCAGGACUACCAGUGCUGAAGUCACAGGGAGGAAAAAAAAGGAGGAAAGAAAAUCCUGCCUCUGCCAGCAUUACUAAUCAAGUACUAAUGGUUUUGACAUGAACAUUUUCUAUGGCAGCUGAUGCAUUUCUAAACUAAUACAUGUAUUCCUUAAUACUAUUUCCUAUAUUAUUAUGUCUGGCAUUAUCUCUUUAGAAAUAAUACAGUUUUGCUACUAUAACAGAAUAAAAUACUACACAUCCACA